GACGAACGCUGGCGGCGUGCUUAACACAUGCAAGUCGAACGGAAAGGCCCUGCUUUUGCGGGGUGCUCGAGUGGCGAACGGGUGAGUAACACGGGAGUAACCUGCCCUUGACUUUGGGAUAACUUCAGGAAACUGGGGCUAAUACAGGAUAGGAGCUCCUGCAGCAUGGGGGGGGUUGGAACGUUUCGGCGGUUGGGGCUGGACUCGCGGGUUAUCAGCUGGUGGGUGGGGUAGUGGCUUACCAAGGCUUUGACGGGUAGCCGGCCUGGGAGGGUGGACAGGCUCAAUGGGACUGCGGGACGGCCCAGUCUGCUAUGGGGGGCAACAGUGGGGAGUAUUGUCCAGCGGGCGGGCGCGUGAUACGAAGGCGCUGCGUGCGGGAUGACGGCCUUCGGGUUAUGAACCGCUUUCGCCUGUGACGAAGCGGGAGUGACGUUAAUGGGUAAAGAAGCACCGGCUAACUACGUG
rnacentral:rRNA from 1 species